rnacentral:rRNA from 1 species
AACGAACGCUGGCGGCAUGCCUAACACAUGCAAGUCGAACGAGAUCUUCGGAUCUAGUGGCGCACGGGUGCGUAACGCGUGGGAAUCUGCCCCUUGCUUCGGAAUAACAGUGAGAAAUUACUGCUAAUACCGGAUGAUGUCUCCGGACCAAAGAUUUAUCGGCAAGGGAUGAGCCCGCGUAGGAUUAGGUAGUUGGUGGGGUAAUGGCCUACCAAGCCGACGAUCCUUAGCUGGUCUGAGAGGAUGAUCAGCCACACUGGGACUGAGACACGGCCCAGACUCCUACGGGAGGCAGCAGUGGGGAAUAUUGGACAAUGGGCGAAAGCCUGAUCCAGCAAGGCCGCGUGAGUGAUGAAGGCCUUAGGGUUGUAAAGCUCUUUUACCAGGGAUGAUAAUGACAGUACCUGGAGAAUAAGCUCCGGCUAACUCCGU